rnacentral:tRNA from 1 species
GGGGGCAUAGUUUUAAUCAAAACAUCGGCCUCCAAAUCCGGGGUUAUGGGUUAAAAUCCUAUUGCCCUCG